CAGUAGCCACGGUAAAACGUAGGGUGCGAGCGUUAAUCGGAAUUACUGGGCGUAAAGCGUGCGCAGGCGGUUUGUUAAGUCUGCUGUGAAAUCCCCGGGCUCAACCUGGGAAUGGCAGUGGAUACUGGCAAGCUAGAGUGUGUCAGAGGAUGGUGGAAUUCCCGGUGUAGCGGUGAAAUGCGUAGAGAUCGGGAGGAACAUCAGUGGCGAAGGCGGCCAUCUGGGACAACACUGACGCUGAGGCACGAAAGCGUGGGGAGCAAACAGGAUUAGAUACCCGCGUAGUCCCUGUCUCUUAUAC
rnacentral:rRNA from 1 species